AUUAAACGCUGGCGGCAUGCCUUACACAUGCAAGUCGAACGGUAGCGCGGGGCAACCUGGCGACGAGUGGCGAACGGGUGAGUAAAGCAUCGGAACGUGCCCUGGAAUGGGGGAUAACGUAGCGAAAGUUACGCUAAUACCGCAUAUUCUGUGAGCAGGAAAGCAGGGAAUCGCAAGACCUUGCGUUCUGGGAGCGGCCGAUGUCGGAUUAGCUAGUUGGUGGGGUAAAAGCCUACCAAGGCGACGAUCCGUAGCGGGUCUGAGAGGAUGAUCCGCCACACUGGACUGAGACACGGCCCAGACUCUACGGGAGGCAGCAGUGGGGAAUUUUGGACAAUGGGCGGAAGCCUGAUCCAGCCAUGCCGCGUGAGUGAAGAAGG
rnacentral:rRNA from 1 species